rnacentral:rRNA from 1 species
AUUUAAUUGAAGAGUUUGAUCAUGGCUCAGAUUGAACGCUGGCGGUAGGUUUUAAACAUGCAAGUCGAGCGGUAACAGACAUUUUGAUUCAGCUUGCUGAAUCUCGUGCUGACGAGCGGCGAACGGGUGAGUAACACGUAGGAAUUUACCCAGUAGAGGGGGAUAGCCCGAGGAAACUCGGAUUAAUACCGCAUACGCCCUAAGGGGGAAAGAAGGCACCUUUGGUGCUUUCACUAUUGGAUAAGCCUGCGUAAGAUUAGCUAGUUGGUAAGGUAAAGGCUUACCAAGGCUACGAUCUUUAGCUGGUCUGAGAGGACGAUCAGCCACAUUGGGACUGAGACACGGCCCAGACGUCUACGGACGGCAGCAGUUAAGAAUAUUGGACAAUGGGGGAAACCCUGAUCCAGCCAUACCGCGUGUGUGAAGAAGGCCUUAGGGUUGUAAAGCACUUUAAGCAGUGAAGAAGAAUAUUGAACUAAUAAUUUAAUAUUUUGACAUUAGCUGCAGAAUAAGUACCGGCUAACUCCGUGCCAGCAGCCGCGGUAAUACGGAGGGUACAAGCGUUAAUCGGAAUUACUGGGCGUAAAGCGCGCGUA